UAAGGAUCGAAGAGCUAGCUUCAUGCUUCGAAAAGACAGAGAAUUGGGAUUUUUUUUAUAAGGUUUUGGGAAGACUGAGGCAAUCGUUGCUGAAAGUCAGUAUUGUAUUGGUGAACUGGAUUUUUUUCGUAAGAGAGAAAAAUCUGAUACUCUUGAUUGUUGAUGAAAUAGGGGAUACUUCUGUGGUUGAAAUUCAGAAUUGUCUAGAAGGUUGAGUAUGCUGAAUGCAUACGUUGUUGUGUUAAUCUGAUUAUAUGGAUAGAGGAUAUCUGCCAACAGUUUAAACAGGUAUUGGGAGUUGACAAAUUGGGAGAUUGUUUAGG
rnacentral:lncRNA from 1 species